UGGGGAAUUUUGGACAAUGGGCGAAAGCCUGAUCCAGCAAUGCCGCGUGUGUGAAGAAGGCCUUCGGGUUGUAAAGCACUUUUGUCCGGAAAGAAAUCCUUGGCUCUAAUACAGUCGGGGGAUGACGGUACCGGAAGAAUAAGCACCGGCUAACUACGUGCCAGCAGCCGCGGUAAUACGUAGGGUGCAAGCGUUAAUCGGAAUUACUGGGCGUAAAGCGUGCGCAGGCGGUUUGCUAAGACCGAUGUGAAAUCCCCGGGCUCAACCUGGGAACUGCAUUGGUGACUGGGCAGGCUAGAGUAUGGCAGAGGGGGGUAGAAUUCCACGUGUAGCAGUGAAAUGCGUAGAGAUGUGGAGGAAUACCGAUGGCGAAAGGCAGCCCCCUGGGCCAAUACUGACGCUCAUGCACGAAAAGCGUGGGGGGA
rnacentral:rRNA from 1 species